CCACAUAUCUGGAUAUUAAGGUCAUUAUUAUUGAUAUCACUUCAACCAGAGAUGUUUUGUAAUGAACAUGUGUGUGUUUUAAAAUAAGAGGACAUAUUUUAGGUCCCCAUACCUAGAUAUUAAGAUCAUUAUUAUUGAUAUCACUUAAACAAUAGAUGUUUUGUAAUGAACAUGCGUGUUUUUUUUUCAAUUAGAGGACAUAUUUUAGGUCCCCAUAUCUGAAUAUUAAUCAUUAUUAUUGAUAUCACUAUAUCAAGAUAUGUUUCGUAAUGAACAUGCGUGUGUUUUACAAUUAGAACACAUGUUUUAGGUCCCAAUACCUGGAUAUUUAGAUCAUUAUUAUAGAUACUACUUAAACAAGAGAUAUUUUGUAAUGAACAUGCGUGUUUUUUACAAUAUGAGGACAUGUUUUAGGUCCCAAUACCUGGAUAUUUAGAUCAUUAUUAUAGAUACUACUUAAACAAUAGAUGUUUUGUAAUGAACAUGCAUGUUUUUUUUACAAUUAGAGGACAUAUUUUAGGUCCCAAUACCUGGAUAUUUAGAUCAUUAUUAUAGAUACUACUUAAACAAGAGAUAUUUUGUAAUGAACAUGCGUGUGUUUUACAAUUAGAACACAUGUUUUAGGUCCCAAUACCUGGAUAUUUAGAUCAUUAUUAUAGAUACUACUUAAACAAGAGAUGUUUUGUAAUGAACAUGCGUGUGUUUUACAAUUAGAGGACAUGUUUUAGGUCCCAAUACCUGGAUAUUUAGAUCAUUAUUAUAGAUACUACUUAAACAAUAGAUGUUUUGUAAUGAACAUGCGUGUUUUUUACAAUUAGAGGACAUAUUUUAGGUCCCAAUACCUGGAUAUUUAGAUCAUUAUUAUAGAUACUACUUAAACAAGAGAUAUUUUGUAAUGAACAUGCGUGUAUUUUACAAUUAGAACACAUGUUUUAGGUCCCAAUACCUGGAUAUUUAGAUCAUUAUUAUAGAUACUACUUAAACAAUAGAUGUUUUGUAAUGAACAUGCGUGUUUUUUACAAUUAGAGGACAUAUUUUAGGUCCCAAUACCUGGAUAUUUAGAUCAUUAUUAUAGAUACUACUUAAACAAUAGAUGUUUUGUAAUGAACAUGCAUGUUUUUUUUACAAUUAGAGGACAUAUUUUAGGUCCCAAUACCUGGAUAUUUAGAUCAUUAUUAUAGAUACUACUUAAACAAUAGAUGUUUUGUAAUGAACAUGCGUGUGUUUUACAAUUAGAGGACAUUUUUUAGGUCCCAAUACCUGGAUAUUUAGAUCAUUAUUAUAGAUACUACUUAAACAAUAGAUGUUUUGUAAUGAACAUGCGUGUUUUUUACAAUUAGAGGACAUAUUUUAGGUCCCAAUACCUGGAUAUUUAGAUCAUUAUUAUAGAUACUACUUAAACAAUAGAUGUUUUGUAAUGAACAUGCAUGUUUUUUUUACAAUUAGAGGACAUAUUUUAGGUCCCAAUACCUGAAUAUUUAGAUCAUUAUUAUAGAUACUACUUAAACAAUAGAUGUUUUGUAAUGAACAUGCGUGUUUUUUACAAUUAGAGGACAUAUUUUAGGUCCCAAUACCUGGAUAUUUAGAUCAUUAUUAUUGAUACUACUUAAACAAUAGAUGUUUUGUAAUGAACAUGCGUGUUUUUUACAAUUAGAGGACAUUUUUUAGGUCCCAAUACCUGGAUAUUUAGAUCAUUAUUAUUGAUACUACUUAAACAAUAGAUGUUUUGUAAUGAACAUGCAUGUUUUUUUACAAUUAGAGGACAUUUUUUAGGUCCCAAUACCUGAAUAUUUAGAUCAUUAUUAUUUGUACUACUUAAACAAUAGAUGUUUUGUAAUGAACAUGCGUGUUUUUUACAAUUAGAGGACAUAUUUUAGGUCCCAAUACCUGGAUAUUUAGAUCAUUAUUAUAGAUACUACUUAAACAAUAGAUGUUUUGUAAUGAACAUGCAUGUUUUUUUUACAAUUAGAGGACAUAUUUUAGGUCCCAAUACCUGGAUAUUUAGAUCAUUAUUAUUGAUACUACUUAAACAAUAGAUGUUUUGUAAUGAACAUGCAUGUUUUUUUACAAUUAGAGGACAUUUUUUAGGUCCCAAUACCUGAAUAUUUAGAUCAUUAUUAUUUGUACUACUUAAACAAUAGAUGUUUUGUAAUGAACAUGCAUGUUUUUUUACAAUUAGAGGACAUAUUUUAGGUCCCAAUACCUGAAUAUUAAGAUCAUACCGACUGAUAUCACAUCAACAAGAAAUGUUCUCUAAUGAAUAUGUGUGUGUUACAAUUUGAGAACAUGUUUUAGGACUCCAUACCGGGAUAUCAAAAUCAUAAUUAUUGAUAUCAUUUCAACCAGAGAUGUUUUGUUGUUAAUUAGAGGGUGUAUACCUGGAUAUUUAGAUAAUAAUUUAUGUCACUUCAACCAGAGAUAUUUUGUUCUUAAGGUGUGAGCAGAUAAAUUAUACUGAAUGAUUCAACUUUAAAGUAGUGAUGUUUUGUUUAUGUAUACACAAUAUACAUAUAUUAUAGUUUCUAAUCAGUUUCUAAUCAUAGUCUUAUGAACAAUGCUGAAUGCCACAUGUUUAUUUUGUACAUGAUUGUCAAGUAAAACAAAUAUAGUCAUAAUUUUCAAAGAAAAUAUAUUAGUAACAAUUCAAUCAACAUUUAGGGAAGCCACUCAUAAACAUAUGCAUAUCUUUCACAGAUGCAUUUCUAUAUUGAGCAUUUUCUGUAAAUAUUCUAUUAUUGAAGUUUUAUUAAAAUAUUACUUGAUAUAAAUGUGUUUAUCAACAAAUUAA